CGCCUUGCCAGCCCGCUCAGAAACUCAAAGGAAUUGACGGGGGCCCGGCACAAGCGGUGGAGUAUGUGGUUAAUUCGAUGCAACGCGAAGAACCUUACCUGGUCUUGACAUCCCGGAGACCCUUAGGAAACUAGGGGGUGCUUCCAUCUGGAAGAAUCUGGAGACAGGUGCUGCAUGGCUGUCGUCAGCUCGUGUCGUGAGAUGUUGGGUUAAGUCCCGCAACGAGCGCAACCCUUGCCUUUAGUUGCCAGCAGUUCGGCUGGGCACUCUAAAGGGACUGCCGGUGUUAAACCGGAGGAAGGUGGGGAUGACGUCAAGUCCUCAUGGCCUUUAUGACCAGGGCUACACACGUACUACAAUGGCCGAUACAAAGGGCAGCGACACUGCGAGGUGAAGCCAAUCCCGUAAAAUCGGUCUCAGUCCGGAUUGGAGUCUGCAACUCGACUCCAUGAAGUUGGAAUCGCUAGUAAUCGUGGAUCAGCAUGCCACGGUGAAUACGUUCCCGGGCCUU
rnacentral:rRNA from 1 species